rnacentral:rRNA from 1 species
UACGUAGGGCGCGAGCGUUGUCCGGAAUUAUUGGGCGUAAAGGGCUCGUAGGCGGUUUGUCGCGUCGGGAGUGAAAUCCAGCUGCUUAACAGAUGGGCUGCGGAAGAUACUAUGGAGCUAGGAGGCGGGAGAGGCAAGCGGUACUCGAUGGGUAGGGGUAAAAUCCGUUGAUCCAUUGAAGACCACCAGUGGCGAAGGCGGCUUGCCAGAACGCGCUCGACGGUGAGGGAUGAAAGCUGGGGGAGCAAACCGG